CUCUGGUGCAGCCACUCUCUCUCAUUCCAGAAUGGAAUACUAUACUACUAUUACACUCAUAGACUGCUUAUAAAGCUGGAUGUUUUGAGGUGUGAUGUCAUCCAUUGGUUUGCACUGGAACUGGUUUGAAGCCCAGAGUUGCAGCCUAUGGUUGGUGCCAUCUUUUCCGUUUGGAGCCAGGACCUUCCAAAUAAGGAGUGUGGGGUGUGGCAUUUCUUGCUCUGGAAAUAUGCCCUGCUACCUCGGAGUGGCUGGCUUACUGGGAACACUAAGCAGUGCAAACUUGGGCUAAUGUUAGCUACUUUAGUUACAUUUUGUUAACACAGCAGGUAUCAUUAUCAAGUAACAUUAAACUUACAAAAAUAUUAAGACAAUAGUCAAUGUUGGACCUCAAAUGCCAUGUGCAUGAGACAAAGGUAGGCCUGCACGUAAUCACAAAGACAGGCACCAAGUCAAACAAAAGGACUCCAAAUGGACUUCACUUCCCAUCAUGCUCUGCUCAACUCACACCUAGGUGUAAAAUCUGGCAGAGCCAAACUCUCGGCUUCCCUUGGAUGAGACCCACGGAGGAUUUGUUCUUUUGACCGUGAUGUCACCGAGAGUAUAAACACUCCAUUGCUGUCUGAAGUAUGCUUCCAGCUGCUCACCGGCUAACGUAAAGAAGUAACUCCCUUACAUACGUGAUGGUAACUAGGCCAUACAAUCUCAACCUCACUGGACGAGUGGAGAUUUCUCUGUGUUCAACCAAGCACGUUGCUGGAUCCGAAGAAGACCGCUGUGCAACCCAGCCCAACCCUUCCACCUUUCCUGCAGAAGAAGUUGAAGGAUAACUUCUAUGCUCCGCUCGCCUUUAAGAAUGCCUGUCCUGACCAGCCUGGAAUGCUGGGCUUUCCAGAGGUACCAGACCAGUCAACAUUCAAGAAUAAAGGAGAGUGAGAUCGACAGGUCCAUGCCUAACUGGACUGUGGAACAGAGAGGAGGCCACUGCAAGAGAUAACCUUGGAAGGACAUGUUGACCAGACGUGA